rnacentral:rRNA from 1 species
GACGAACGCUGGCGGCGUGCCUAACACAUGCAAGUCGAACGCUGAAGGAGGAGCUUGCUUCUCUGGAUGAGGUGCGAACGGGUGAGAAGCGCGUAGGUAACCUUCGUGGUAGGGGGGGAUGUCUGUUAGAGACGAUAGCUAAUGCCUCAUAACAGCAGUUGUUGGAGGAGAACUGUUUGAAAGCUGCAAUUGCGCCACUACUAGAUGGACCUGCGUUGUUUUAGGUAGUUGGUGGGGUAAAGGCCCACCAAGGCGACGAUACAUAGCCGACCUGAGAGGGUGGUCGGCCACACUGGGACGGAGACACGGCCCAGACUCCUACGGGAAGCAGCCAUAGGGAAACUGUGGCAAUGGGCGGAAGUCUGACCCCACAACGCCCAGGGAGUGGAGAAGGUUUUCGGGUCGGUAAGGUCUGUUGUAAGGGAAGAAAGAGUAUGAGGGUGGAACGUUGACGCUGUGACGGUACCUACAGAAAAAGGAACGGCUAACUACGUG